rnacentral:lncRNA from 1 species
UGUCCUGAUGUAAGCAGUCACUCUAGUUUGCUCCUGCUAAUGUAUUCCCUUUAGAGCUGACAGCAACACCAUCUUUUGUUUUAUCAUGGAUAUGACAGCUCAGUAAAUGCUUUUAUUCACCUCUCACUCAUGCUGUGAUUGAUACACUAAGACUUCAACUGGUGAACAGUCAAAUUGUGAAGAAAACAACAACAAAAAAAAAACACACUAACUUUGCCCUUUAAAUGAAGGAUCAUUAAAUCAACCAGCUCUGAUAUUAUUCUUUCUCAUGAAACUGUUGGUGAAGGAUGGGGGGGAAGUCCUAAAAGUAACUUUGCUUUGGAUUGCUUUGUGUAUGAUAUGAUAUCAAGAAAUUCAUUUUGAUUUGUUGUACUGACGUUAAUCUUGGCAUCAUUACUGCCUUGCUUAUUUAGCAAGGUCAUUAGCUGAAGAAAGGAAGCCAGUUUGCUACUCCCAUCAUCACUGGCUUUCUGGUGCAGGAAAGGUUUUCACUGUAUUUGGAAUUGUUGAGACUACAGUAGUUGUGUUUGUGCCAUCAUGUGUGCAGUGGGUGCCAGUGGUACCUGGUGCCCUGGUGAAGAUGGAUGCAGAACUUGAGUGGAAAUCUUCCAGGGAAUUUUCUAUCACUACCCCUAGCCAUGGAGUGUUUAAAGAAAACCUGUUUUCAAACAGAAGGCUCUAAUUAGAACUCGGGCCUCAGCUGUAUUGAUUGCACUACACUUUCUCUGUGGAUUUACAAAUGCCAGCAAAUAAACUUGCCAGGAAGUUUGCUGUUGUGGCUUGC